CUGCCACGGCACAUCAAAGCCCCCAUUAACCGCAGCCUUUACUCCAUUCAGGAAUGAAUGCUAAAAUAGAGAGGACACCUCCCGCCGCAGACACAGAGUUAGAGCCCCCACAGCAAGCACCAAGAGAACACACUUUGCAUUCUGCCCUGCUGACCUCUUCCCCGCCAACUCUGGCAUUAGUGAACGUGAAGGAAUUGCUUGCUUCCAGCCACUGAAUCCAAAAUGAAGUCAUUUGCUUUCAGGACCACCUGGGGAACAAACCUUUGGAGGAAGCCUGAGCAGGGUUACACCACACAGUGCCGAACACACCCAUGUCCGAUCUACAUUCACACCCCCAGCUUGGCUAACAACAGUGGAGCUAGCUCGGUGCUGUGACAAAAACAGCAGGAGAAAUGCUACCAACUCUCAGAACAGACAACCUCUGAAAAAGCAACCAAGGGUGCAGGCAGGAGAGUAGAGACUAGAUGGCCAUGGAAGGGCAGCACAGAGGAGUGCAAAGUGGAGGAGAAAAAUAAGACAUUAAUAUUAAUAAUGGCAGGAUCCAGUAUUAUAAUCAAGCAUCAGGAAAAGUUAGAGGAACUGAGGAAGGUGGAGUAAGCAGAGAGUGAGACAACAGCUUCUCUAAAGAGUGCAGGGCCAGGUUUCCUAGCAUUCAGCACUCACCAGUCAGCUGGAUUUUCCAGAGAUCAGCUCCUAUUCAAGCACCUAAAUCAGGGCCAGAUUUGCAGAAAGACUCCAGCCGGACCAGCUCCCAGUGUGACACUUAUGGCCAGAUUUUCACAAACAUUCAGCUCUCAGCAGGUACCCGCUGUGCUCAGCUCAUCUGAUAAUCCGGCCCAGAGAACACAAUAAAACGGGAUUCUUUAAUCCAUUUCUAGCCUCACUGAGCUACGGGGCUGCUUGCAAGAAGCCAACCUGCCAACUGGAAGAUGCACAUAGAUCUCCUUUACCCUAAUGGAUCUGACAUAUAAGGCUAGUGUUAAGGUGUGAUCCAGGGCACACAAUAUCCUGAAAAGCUGUUAACACCCAUGCAAGAGAAUACCCUGUUCACGUCAUCUUAUAAAAAGCUAUAUUCUUCUGAACUCUGCACCAUGGUGCAAUAUAAAAACUACAAACACACUGAGCCAUAAGACAGUAACAUGCCAGUCUUAUAAGGCUCACACUUUUUGCUGAAUUCUGUUCCUUUCAUUUAUAUAGGGCAUUUCUCGUCCUACAGUUGCAGCGUAGCAGAUGCCAACAGUAAGAUGAAAGGGCAGCUCCCAGAGGCAGUAAGAUGGGUGUACAAGACUGAUAUUUUCGUAACAAUCCAGGCACAGUAGCUCAUGUUCUGCUCUGUUACAUGCCUGCAGACUCCCAGAUUCCAGUGGGGUUACACAAAAGUAGAGUUUGGCCCAAUGUUAAUUCAACUCUCUGCUUAGAGGAGCCAAAGGCUAUCCUGAGCCCCAUCUAUGCUACAGUUACAACCAGUGGCGCAGUUAACAGCAUCGUUAUCCCCUGACUUGAUUAUAACAUUCCAUUUUGUAGAGCAGCCAGAACCAGAACCACAUCCUAGGAUUUAGCCCAUAUAAGAAACAAAGCCAGAUGCCAUCUACACUACAAAUUAGAGUCAGGUCUCCUGUCUUGAUUGUGACUGUCAUGUCAGUGGGGUCUUAGGAAGCUCUAGUAGAAGCUAUAUUCUUGUUAACUGUAAGAGGCAUGGACUAGUGCUCUGACCACAGGACUGGGAGCCAGGAGCGCCCGAGUUCUAGCCUUUAUAAUCAUGCAGCUUUCUAGCAAGCUGUGACUUCAGGCAAGUCACUUUACCACCCUGUGCUUCAGUUUGCCCAUCUGUAAAAUAGCCAUAAUACCAACUGCAUCAGGGCUUUGUGGGAUUUAAAUAGCGAAUGUCUAAUAUACUUAAAGUUGGGCGCCAUAGCACAUUUUAAAGUUAGCUCUGUAAUGCAGCUCAAUGCACCUUGGACACAUGGGAAACACCGCCCACUGCCCAAAAUACCCACCACUUCCCAAUAGGAAUUUCAGCAACCGUUUUAAGCAUGUUGCCCGUGCUGUGAAAAGCCACAAACCGGGUCCUGGUUUAUUAAGGCAGAAGGUGGUUGCUCAUUUUGCCCCGCACAGAAUUAAAAUCCAAGACACCAAAAAUCCAUUCUUAGGGAAACCCUAAAAGGUCCAUGCAGCACAGGCUGGACACCAGGAAGAAGCAUUUCAACAUGAACCUGGCGUUUCCGACUGAGCAAUCACGGGUCUGCAUUUGCCUAAUCUCACCUUCGAACACACAGGCAGUAGAUGAAGUGCUGGCAAAAGGUAUUGACCUGGGAGUCUGAAAUCCACUAUCCAUAUCACAGGCAGGGCAAGCUUCCCACGCAUCUCCUUCUAAUAUGCACCACCCCUGACCUGGCAAGCACUUCAGUUUCCUAGUCAAGAUGCUUCUGCUGAUUGCCUCUAGAACUAUUUCAUCUCCAAGAAUGUACUCAAAAUGCCAUCAAUGCAGUUCCAGGAGUGCCAGCCGGGAUGGCAAUUUCACCUCGACGCUAAUUCCAAGACCCUUUACAGAGCGAUCUUAACACAAGAUUUGCUACAAAUCUCUUGCCUGGCUGCACUUGGAAGCCUGACUGAUUUGUGACAGUGAUCUGCUGUCACUCACGCAUGCCCUGUGUGAAGUCGAAAUACCGACUGUAUCCUCUUCAACCCUGUAGCAACUUCGGCUAUGUCUACA